GAAGUUGUGGCUCAGUGGUAGAGCACUUGCCUAAUGCGUGAGACACUGGGUUCGAUUCUCAGCAUCG
rfam:Ictidomys tridecemlineatus contig097651, whole genome shotgun sequence.